UCUCCGUUGGUGAACCAGCGGAGGGAUCAUUACUGGAAUCGCAAGACUCCCAACCCCUGUGAACGUACCGAAACGUUGCCUCGGCGGGCCUCUGAGAUUCGUCUCACGUCCGCCGGCGGCCCAUUAAACUCUGUUACUUUUAAGCAAUCUGAGUCUUUUAUAAAAUAAAGUCAAAACUUUCAACAACGGAUCUCUUGGUUCUGGCAUCGAUGAAGAACGCAGC
rnacentral:misc_RNA from 1 species